rnacentral:rRNA from 1 species
AUACGGAGGAUCCGAGCGUUAUCCGGAUUUAUUGGGUUUAAAGGGAGCGUAGGCGGACGCUUAAGUCAGUUGUGAAAGUUUGCGGCUCAACCGUAAAAUUGCAGUUGAUACUGGGUGUCUUGAGUACAGUAGAGGCAGGCGGAAUUCGGGGGUUAGGGGUGAAAUGCUUUGAUAUCACGAAGAAAUCCGAUUGCGAAGGCAGCAUGCUGGACUGUAACUGACGCUGAUGCUCGAAAGUGUGGGUAUCAAACAGGAUUAGAUACCCUGGUAGUCCACACAGUAAACGAUGAAUACUCGCUGUUUGCGAUAUACAGUAAGCGGCCAAGCGAAAGCAUUAAGUAUUCCACCUGGGGAGUACGCCGGCAACGGUGAAACUCAAAUGAAUUGACGGGG